AACGAACGCUGGCGGCAGGCCUAACACAUGCAAGUCGAACGCCGUAGCAAUACGGAGUGGCAGACGGGUGAGUAACACGUGGGAACGUACCCUUCGGUUCGGAAUAACUCAGGGAAACUUGAGCUAAUACCGGAUACGUCCGAGAGGAGAAAGAUUUAUCGCCGAGGGAUCGGCCCGCGUCUGAUUAGCUUGUUGGUGAGGUAACGGCUCACCAAGGCGACGAUCAGUAGCUGGUCNGAGAGGAUGAUCAGCCACAUUGGGACUGAGACACGGCCCAAACUCCUACGGGAGGCAGCAGUGGGGAAUAUUGGACAAUGGGCGCAAGCCUGAUCCAGCCAUGCCGCGUGAGCGAUGAAGGCCCUAGGGUUGUAAAGCUCUUUUACCCGGGAAGAUAAUGAC
rnacentral:rRNA from 1 species